UAUGGACAAUGGCGGCAACCUGAUCCAGCAAUGCCCGCGUGUGUGAAGAAGGCCUUUCGGGUUGUAAAGCACUUUUGUCCCGGAAAGAAAACGUCCGUGGCUAAUACCCGUGGCGGAUGACGGUACCGGAAGAAUAAGCACCGGCUAACUACGUGCCAGCAGCCGCGGUAAUACGUAGGGUGCAAGCGUUAAUCGGAAUUACUGGGCGUAAAGCGUGCGCAGGCGGUUCGCUAAGACAGAUGUGAAAUCCCCGGGCUUAACCUGGGAACUGCAUUUGUGACUGGCGGGCUAGAGUAUGGCAGAGGGGGGUAGAAUUCCACGUGUAGCAGUGAAAUGCGUAGAGAUGUGGAGGAAUACCGAUGGCGAAGGCAGCCCCCUGGGCCAAUACUGACGCUCAUGCACGAAAGCGUGGGGAGCAAACAGGAUUAGAUACCCUGGUAGUCCACGCCCUAAACGAUGUCAACUGGUUGUCGGGCCUUCAUUGGCUUGGUAACGUAGCUAACGCGUGAAGUUGACCGCCUGGGGAGUACGGUCGCAAGAUUAAAACUCAAAGGAAUUGACGGGGACCCGCACAAGCGGUGGAUGAUGUGGAUUAAUUCGAUGCAACGCGAAAAACCUUACCUACCCUUGACAUGUACGGAACCCUGCUGAGAGGUGGGGGUGCCCGAAAGGGAGCCGUAACACAGGUGCUGCAUGGCUGUCGUCAGCUCGUGUCGUGAGAU
rnacentral:rRNA from 1 species